rnacentral:piRNA from 1 species
UAAAAAACUUGGACAAUGAUAGAUUU